rfam:Triticum aestivum genome assembly, contig: Triticum_aestivum_CS42_TGACv1_scaffold_527733_6DL
GAUGUACUCCCUCUGUCCGGAAAUACUUGUCAUAGAAAUGGAUGCGUCUAGACGCAUUUUAGUUCUAGAUACAUCCACUUUUAUUCAUUUCUGCGACAAGUAAUUCCGGACGGAGGGAGUAUGUA